CUGUACCACCUAUUAUCGUUUUAAUCGAUGGGGGGACGCAGUAGGAUAGGCGAAGCGUGCUGUUGGAGUUCUCGUCCAAGCAGUAAGGCUGAGUGUUAGGCAUAUCCGGCAUUCAUAAGGCUGAGCUGUGAUGGGGAGAGGAAAUUGUUUCCUCGAGUCGUUGAUUUCACACUGCCGAGAAAAGCCUCUAGAUAGAUAACAGGUGCCCGUACCGCAAACCGACACAGGUAGUCAAGAUGAGAAUUCUAAGGUGAGCGAGCGAACUCUCGUUAAGGAACUCGGCAAAAUGACCCCGUAACUUCGGGAGAAGG
rnacentral:rRNA from 1 species